rnacentral:rRNA from 1 species
UACAGAGGUCUCAAGCGUUGUUCGGAUUCAUUGGGCGUAAAGGGUGCGUAGGCGGCGCGGUAAGUCGGGUGUGAAAUCUCGGGGCUUAACUCCGAAACUGCAUUCGAUACUGCCGUGCUUGAGGACUGGAGAGGAGACUGGAAUUUACGGUGUAGCGGUGAAAUGCGUAGAUAUCGUAAGGAAGACCAGUGGCGAAGGCGGGGUCUCUGGACAGUU